GGAAUACUAAAUUAUUUAACACAUUUUGUAUUAAAAUUAUUUAUAUAUUAAAUUAAAGUUUAAAGAUUUUUGUGGGAUAAAUUAAAGUUGAGGGAUGUAUGUGGUAUAUUUAUCGAAGUUGAGGGACAAUAAAUAAAAUUUAGCCAUAAGUUAACAUAGAAACCUAUAAUAGUAGGUCACAUGGAUUUUAAUGAUACUCAAAUUGAAGUUAAUGGAUUUUUAUGAUGCAAAUUGAAGUUGAGAGAUAUUACUGAUACGACUAGCUAAGUUGAGGCACUAUAAGUGAAAUUAAUCCGAGUUUACUAGAUAAUAAAGAACUAAAAAUUGCGAGCUUAUUUUAAGUUAUCUAUCUACUCUAUGUAGUAGAUGAAAUAUCUAUUAUAUUAGUACAAGUCCUACUUAUACUCGGACAACUUUACUAAUUUAAGAAGCCUAAAAGCAGUAGGAAUACUUAAAAUUGAAGGAAAUGAAAGCUAAAUUGAAUGACUGCAAUUACAAAAAUUUCGUUAUAACUAAUAUUAUAACUAUAUUAAGCUUGUAAAGCCCUCGCAUCAGGCAUCAGCCAAAAUUGCAAAUUUGGAUAUCGUAAUUUUUGUUUAUUAACUAUAUGCAAGCAUAUAACCUUCAACUUCAAAUGCUAUUAGUGAGUAUAUACCAGUGUAUUUACAAGCUUCCAAUCCGUACAUGCCUACUCAAAAGCAUGUAAGGCGAGCCUUUAAAUCAUGGUUACGCGUAACGGAAACAGGCCUGUAAUGAUCAUAGCAUAACGGUAAUGGCAGCGGCUUGGCAUUGCAUAUACUUUUUUUGAAAAAUUUGCAAAGUU
rnacentral:misc_RNA from 1 species